UUGAUGGCUAUGAUGGAGCCUAGUAAGUUAAGUCCUGUCUUCAGAGAAUGGGUGGUCGGUGUGAACCCAUGGCAAGUUUUCCUGAAUCUACUCCGGAGCUUCUAGUUUGAAAUAGUACUAGACGUAGGACCUGCGAUAAGGGUUAGAGGUGGGCUAUUUAUAUAGCCAACUAGGGUGGCAACGCGGAAUUAUGACUUUCGUCCCUUAU
rnacentral:ncRNA from 1 species